AAGCUGUCAGUGCACCUCAAGAUCUGUGCACAGCCAGGACAGAGCUGCUUUGAGUUUCAGCUGUGAAAUACUGUGUGGUGUGCCAGAGUAAACUGGGGAACAGAGGGACAGGGAUUUCAGGGAACAAGUACCUGCUCUUUAGGGAGAAGAGCUGAGAACCGCACCUUAAACCUUCAUUUCUCCUUAGUGUGUGUGCAGGGUGAUGUGCUGUUCUGUGCACAUCUGUGCUGUUCUGUCUUAUGGGAACUAAUACCAUGCUUGCUGUCAGUUUGGAGAUUUCAUACUGUUCCACCCCCACCCGUCAGAACAUUUCAUUACAUCUCUCAGGCAAUAGAAAGGACUUUUUGAUUAUUAGGUAAGUCAUUAUAUUACUAGAUAUGUUUUUGAAUAUAUGGGCAGAGCUGUAAUUUUAUAAGUCUGUCAGAUGGCAGGAAACAACAGAGAAUAAGGGGAAAACCAUCAAUUCCUACCUCCAUAUAGCUCAUAUUGCUAAACUAGUUACCCCCCACUUGUAACUGGGAAUUUAGAAGUGUGAGUAUUGCUAAAAAAAGCCUUGGCACUGCUUACAGCAAACUUCAGGGGUCAUUUGAAAGCUGUGGGCAAUCCAGGACAUCCUACACUGGAAAUUUGGACAGAUAUCCCAAAAAGCCUUGGGCUUAACACCAAGUUCUGCAUUUCCAGUCUGCACUCACUGCUGGAGAAUGGAUAUUUGCAGAGCCUGAGCUACAGCAUCUUUAUAAGUUAAGCAAUAAAUAAAAAUUUAAUUCAUAAUCUUGGUGUAUUCUUCAACUCAGAAUUAAAAUUUUCAUGUCUUUUCCACUUGUAGAUCUACUUCUACCACAGUCAGUGAUAUUAUAUCACUGCAGAAAGACAUCUCUUACAAUUGUAUUUUACAAGGCAACUGAGUGCCAGUGUCACUAUGCAGUGUCCUUUGGCAAUUGUAGAGACAUCUCCUCCAGAAUAUGGAAAUAUUCACUUGUGCAUGUGCAUUUUCCUGGAUGCUUAUCCCCUAGAACUUUUAAAUUAAUGCUCUAUUCUGAUCACCAGGCGUGCAAUUUGGCAAUGUCCUGUUGUAUACAUUGAGUGUGAAGGCACACAAGAGAAAAUGUGACUCCCCAUCCUGUGAAGAAGUUUUCUGUAUGUGAGAUCUUAGGACCUGAGUUAGUUUACACUGACUCAGGGGCAGAACAGAAUCCUGUCAGAAGGUGACACAGAAUGGAUUCUGCAGGGUAGAGCCAUUUCCAAAAGAUCUGCUCCACAUCUUCUCCAUACUAAGACUCUGACAGCGCACAUUGCAACACAUCUCUCACCACAAGAAGCACUAUUUCAUUCCAGAAACAUUCCAUCCCGCACUAAAGGAUGGCACUGAGAAACUUCACUGACUGUCCAUCUAAAUUUCUCGUCUUAUUCCACUGUUUUACAUGAUGGUUUUGGUCUCCUUAAUGCCAUCUCACAGAUUUAGACAAGAAUUCUUUUACUCACUAAGAAGUCAAAUAAGGGGCUAAUUUUUUGCAGGCAGUGCAUAAACAUACACUGGAAACAUACACUGGACCAGAUAUUCCUAUCAAAAGCAGAUAAACAUGAAUAGAUCCUAGAUCAAACAAGGGAUUCAGGGUACUUGCGGUUCAGUUGUUUUGGUUUAACUAUCAGCUUGUCUACAGGAACAAAUCAGCUGUGAAUACUAAAAGUUCUUAGCAGAGACUUUUUUUCUGGGCGUGUGCAAUGCUCUAAAUUUAUUUUCGUCCCUUACCACAAUAUUUCCUGUAAGUUGACCAGACUGUAUCACAGAAACUCCAGGCAGAAAAUUGAUGAACAUCAAAAAUCCAUAGUUAAAGCCUCUCCCUCAGCUCUGGAGCCACCACACAUGCUGUUGAUACAGCCUUUUGUGAGGAAGGGGCAUGGUACCACCACAGUGAUGUUUCCACAACCAAGGUGCAGAUGUGAGAUGAAUGGCCAAGAUGAAUCCCAAGAUGAAGGAGUGCCUCAAGAGUAAAGUAAACUGCAAAUCACCAGGAAAAGAAAGAAAAAAUACCCAGGAGAAAGAAUAAACCAGAAGAGAAGAAAACAACCAGUAUCUUUCUCACCAAAGCUCCUGGAGAAUCUCCUUGUUAAAACCAAGCAAACACCUUUCAGCAAGGCUAGUGUGCUAGACAGCAUCACCAGCCACUGGGGAAAUUGGAAGGCACCUUCAAUCUUCUGGAUAUUCCAUAUUUGGGAAUAUCUACUGCAACAGAAACUGGCCAAAAGCAGCAAUUUUAUGGCAGUGUGGAAGAAUGGGGAUAUGUGGCUUCUUUGGGGCAUGGAAAGAGCUGACAGAAAUGUUUCCUCUCCAGCUUGACAUUAUCCCUAGGAAUAUUCUGUUCCACAUCACCUGAGGGACAAGCUGAGUGUCUCUGAGCCCCCAGGGUUUCUGUCUCCUAUCAAGCACUGAGAGCACAGCUGAAAUUCUGGAGCACAGGCAGCCCCAGACACCCCCACACUGCAGUUUGAGUGCUGCUGCACUUUCCUUGGGCAGGAUUUGGUGCCACAAGAGUGCAGAGUCUGGAAGAGAGACCUGAAGUGCUUACAGCAGGCUGCAUUGCUAAACAGCCACUCACAUGCCACGAGCCACUGUCUUGUGUUUCCAGUCAGCUGAAAUUACAAUUCCUGUGCCUGGAACACAAAGGUCUUCAGCACAAGGACAGCAGAACAAUCUCACCAUGUUCUGGUGGGCUUUCCACAAACCACUUGGCAGUAGCUUUAUUCCUUCCUGUGCAAAUGUUCAGGUUAACCUCAGCAAGCAUGAGCUUUGAAUACCUGCUCUGGGAGUCCAUACUACCCAUGGAGAAAAGGAUUUCUAGUUAAAAUUGCACUGUGGGCAGGACACACUCGAUUCCUCUCCCUCUGUGCAUGGGCUAGAGGAGAUGUGGUUUGAACACUUCCAGUUCUGGAAAC